UACGUAGGGGCGAGCGUUGUCCGGAAUGAUUGGGCGUAAAGGGAGCGUAGACGGUUUUGCAAGUCUGAUGUGAAAGCCCGGGGCUCAACUCCGGAAUUGCAUUGGAAACUGUAGAACUAGAGUGCAGGAGAGGUAAGCGGAAUUCCUAGUGUAGCGGUGAAAUGCGUAGAUAUUAGGAGGAACACCAGUGGCGAAGGCGGCUUACUGGACUGUAACUGACGCUGAGGCUCGAAAGCGUGGGGAGCAAACAGGAUUAGAUACCCUGGUAGU
rnacentral:rRNA from 1 species